AGUUGAUCCUGGCUCAGAUUGAACGCUGGCGGCAGGCCUAACACAUGCAAGUCGAGCGGGGAAUGGUAGCUUGCUACCUGACCUAGCGGCGGACGGGUGAGUAAUGCUUAGGAAUCUGCCUAUUAGUGGGGGACAACAUCUCGAAAGGGAUGCUAAUACCGCAUACGUCCUACGGGAGAAAGCAGGGGACCUUCGGGCCUUGCGCUAAUAGAUGAGCCUAAGUCGGAUUAGCUAGUUGGUGGGGUAAAGGCCUACCAAGGCGACGAUCUGUAGCGGGUCUGAGAGGAUGAUCCGCCACACUGGGACUGAGACACGGCCCAGACUCCUACGGGAGGCAGCAGUGGGGAAUAUUGGACAAUGGGGGGAACCCUGAUCCAGCCAUGCCGCGUGUGUGAAAGAAGGCCUUUUGGUUGUAAAGCACUUUAAGCGAGGAGGAGGCUACCGAGAUUAAUACUCUUGGAUAGUGGACGUUACUCGCAGAAUAAGCACCGGCUAACUCUGUGCCAGCCGCCGC
rnacentral:rRNA from 1 species